rnacentral:rRNA from 1 species
AGAGUUUGAUCCUGGCUCAGGACGAACGCUGGCGGCGUGCUUCAGACAUGCAAGUCGGACGAGAAAGCCUCUUCGGAGGUGAGUACAGUGGCGCACGGGUGAGUAACACGUGGGUAAUCUGCCCUUGGGUUUGGGAUAACCCCGGGAAACCGGAGCUAAUACCGAAUGAGACCACGACGACUUCGGUCGAUGUGGGAAAAGGUGGCCUCUUCUUGAAAGCUAUCGCCAAAGGAUGAGCCCGCGCUUGAUUAGCUUGUUGGUGAGGUAACGGCUCACCAAGGCGACGAUCAAUAGCUGAUCUGAGAGGAUGAUCAGCCACACUGGAACUGAGACACGGUCCAGACUCCUACGGGAGGCAGCAGUCGGGAAUAUUGGGCAAUGGGCGAAAGCCUGACCCAGCAACGCCGCGUGAAGGAUGAAGGCCCUAGGGUCGUAAACUUCUGUCGAGAGGGAAGAAUGCUUGCGGGUGAAUAAUUCGUAAGUUUGACGGUACCUCCAAAGGAAGCACCGGCUAACUCCGUGCCAGCAGCCGCGGUAAUACGGAGGGUGCAAGCGUUGUUCGGAUUUAUUGGGCGUAAAGCGAGUGUAGGCGGCUUGGCAAGUCGGAUGUGAAAUCCCAGGGCCCAACCCUGGAACUGCAUCCGAUACUGCCAGGCUAGAGUCCCGGAGAGGGUGGCGGACUUCCCGGUGUAGGGGUGAAAUCCGUAGAUAUCGGGAGGAACACCAGUGGCGAAAGCGGCCACCU